GCUCAGUUGGUAGAGCGCACCCUUGGUAAGGGUGAGGUCCCCAGUUCGACUCUGGGUAUCAGCACCA
rnacentral:tRNA from 10 species